GUGGGGAAUAUUGGACAAUGGGCGAAAGCCUGAUCCAGCCAUGCCGCGUGUGUGAAGAAGGUCUUCGGAUUGUAAAGCACUUUAAGUUGGGAGGAAGGGCAGUAAGUUAAUACCUUGCUGUUUUGACGUUACCGACAGAAUAAGCACCGGCUAACUUCGUGCCAGCAGCCGCGGUAAUACGAAGGGUGCAAGCGUUAAUCGGAAUUACUGGGCGUAAAGCGCGCGUAGGUGGUUUUGUAAGUUGGAGGUGAAAUCCCCGGGCUCAACCUGGGAACUGCCUCCAAAACUGGAUGACUAGAGUACGGUAGAGGGUAGUGGAAUGUCCUGUGUAGCGGUGAAAUGCGUAGAUAUAGGAAGGAACACCAGUGGCGAAGGCGACCACCUGGACUGAUACUGACACUGAGGUGCGAAAGCGUGGGGAGCAAACAGGAUUAGAAACCCUAGUAGUCC
rnacentral:rRNA from 1 species